AUUGAACGCUGGCGGCAGGCCUAACACAUGCAAGUCGAGCGGAUGAAGGGAGCUUGCUCCUGGAUUCAGCGGCGGACGGGUGAGUAAUGCCUAGGAAUCUGCCUGGUAGUGGGGGAUAACGUCCGGAAACGGGCGCUAAUACCGCAUACGUCCUGAGGGAGAAAGUGGGGGACCUUCGGACCUCACGCUAUCAGAUGAGCCUAGGUCGGAUUAGCUAGUUGGUGGGGUAAAGGCCUACCAAGGCGACGAUCCGUAACUGGUCUGAGAGGAUGAUCAGUCACACUGGAACUGAGACACGGUCCAGACUCCUACGGGAGGCAGCAGUGGGGAAUAUUGGACAAUAGGCGAAAGCCUGAUCCAGCCAUGCCGCGUGUGUGAAGAAGGUCUUCGGAUUGUAAAGCACUUUAAGUUGGGAGGAAGGGCAGUAAGUUAAUACCUUGCUGUUUUGACGUUACCAACAGAAUAAGCACCGGCUAACUUCGUG
rnacentral:rRNA from 1 species